GAGAUCCUCCAGCGUGUUAUUUUCACGAGUGAAGGCAUCGGCGCCGGAUAGCGUGGCUUAUACCAAGUUCCUCACCAUCCAAGUAGGGUAACCAUUGAAGUAGAUAAAUGUAACAGCCAAUUUGUGUAAAGCCAGGAGAUAAAUGGCCAA